rnacentral:rRNA from 1 species
AGAUGAGUCUGCGUCUGAUUAGCUAGUUGGUGGGGUAACGGCUUACCAAGGCGACGAUCAGUAGUCGGCCUGAGAGGGUGACCGGCCACAUUGGGACUGAGACACGGCCCAAACUCCUACGGGAGGCAGCAGCGGGGAAUCUUCCGCAAUGGGCGAAAGCCUGACGGAGCAACGCCGCGUGAUCGAUGAAGGCCUUCGGGUUGUAAAGAUCUGUUGACAGGGACGAAUAAGCCAUGCGAAUAGUUUGGUGUAUGACGGUACCUGUUUAGAAAGCUCCGGCUAACUACGUGCCAGCAGCCGCGGUAAUACGUAGGGAGCAAGCGUUGUCCGGAAUUACUGGGCGUAAAGGGCGCGUAGGUGGGUGCUUAAGUCAGGUGUGAAAACUCUGGGCUCAACCUGGAGACUGCACUUGAAACUGGGUAUCUUGAGGGCAGGAGAGGAAAGUGGAAUUCCUAGUGUAGCGGUGAAAUGCGUAGAUAUUAGGAGGAACACCAGUGGCGAAGGCGACUUUCUGGACUGUACCUGACGCUGAGGCGCGAAAGCGUGGGUAGCGAACGGGAUUAGAUACCCUGGUAGUCCACGCCGUAAACGAUGA